rnacentral:rRNA from 1 species
AAACCGUUCAGGGGUAAACCUGAGAAACCCAAAAGAUCGAAUGGGGAGAUUCAUCGUCAGCGGCGCUCGCUUCCGUGCGGCUCGCGAUGCGCUCGGGGGUUCUCUCCCACGCGCACGCGUCCGCUGUGCAUGUCGGGCGUCGUCGGCGUGCACUUCUCCCCUAGUAGGACGUCGCGACCCGUUGGGUGUCGGCCUACGGCCCGGGUGGGUGACUGUCUCGUGCGUCGUUUAACGACGCGCGCACGACGACAGACCCCCGGUUGGCCCGGCCGGCUGCCCGGCGGUACUCGCACGGUAUCGGGCCGCACGAACUGCGUCCGUCCCGUCGCAAGCGCGGCCAGUGUAUAACCCGGAGUGCGCGGACCCAGUGCCGUUCCCGGGCCUGGCCAGCUGUUGGCCAAUAUGACGGUGACCUCGGACUGGCUCUGAAUCGCGGCCUUUGUUGAACGUCGAUACGAUACCGGUCGGCGACGCUACUGCUUUGGGUACUUUCAGGA